AGUGAACGCUGGCGGCGUGCCUAAUACAUGCAAGUCGAACGGAGAUUAAGUAGCUUGCUAUUUAAUCUUAGUGGCGCACGGGUGAGUAAUGUAUAGUUAAUCUGCCCCAUAGUGGAGGACAACAGUUAGAAAUGACUGCUAAUACUCCAUACUCCUUCUUAUCAUAAGUUAAGUCGGGAAAGUUUUUCGCUAUGGGAUGAGACUAUAUCGUAUCAGCUAGUUGGUAAGGUAAUGGCUUACCAAGGCUAUGACGCGUAACUGGUCUGAGAGGAUGAUCAGUCACAUUGGAACUGAGACACGGUCCAAACUCCUACGGGAGGCAGCAGUAGGGAAUAUUGCGCAAUGGGGGAAACCCUGACGCAGCAACGCCGCGUGGAGGAUGACACUUUUCGGAGCGUAAACUCCUUUUGUUAGGGAAGAAUAAUGACGGUACCUUACGAAUAAGCACCGGCUAACUCCGUGCCAGCAGCCGCGGUAAUACUGAGGGUGCAAGCGUUACUCGGUAUCACUGGGCGUAAAGGACGCGUAGGCGGAUUAUCAAGUCUCUUGUGAAUCUAGUGGCUUAACCACUAAACUGUUUGGGAAACUGAUAAUCUAGAGUAAGGGAGAGGCAGAUGGAAUUCUUGUUGUAUGGGUAUAAUCCGGAUGUAUCAUGAUGAAAAUUUAUUGCGAAGGUGAUCUGCUUGUAUCUUAUUUACGUGCUGGUGUGAUAGCGUGGUGGAGCAAUUUGUAAUAAAUACUCUGGUAUCCUAGGGCUGAUUUCCCCUGUGUGUGUUUUUGUUUUUGAUUCCCUCGACAUGCAUGUGCCUGCUCGUGCUUUGCAAUAAAAUUGCUUGAAUGAUAUGUAUUUUGUGUCCCCUGCUUAUUUGUUCCCUGUUGUUUGUGUACGUUUUUAAUUGUCUUUGUGUGUUGUUUGCUUUUUUGUUGUGUGUGUACUGUCUGCCUCUUUGUACCUGUGUGUUGUUCUAUGUUCUGUCUCUGUUGUAUGUCUCCUUGUGCUAGAUGUACUUAUGCUUAUGCUGCUGCCUUGUGUGUGGACUGUAUCUGCCUGCUCUUGAUGUGCUUGCUAUGCUGUAUUACCUACCUGCUGAUGCUGCUCCCUGCCCUUUCUGCUGUCCCCCUUGUGCCUUGAUACG
rnacentral:rRNA from 1 species